CAUGACCUUUGGCGUCACCACUGGCUAUAAUUUCAUAAAGUUGGUGUCACCACUGUAGAAAGUAGUAUUAAGUUAUUGUUAGACUUAUUUUAUUGGUGGGUUUAUUUUGAUAUGAUAAGCACAUGGUUGGCACUUAGCAAAUUUGGACUUGGGAUUAGGUUGUCUAACGGACAACUUGUAAUCACGUUAUCAAUAAAUAACUAAAUAAAAAGCAAGAGACAUUCACGCUUUUUAAAACCACAUUUCUGUCCUCUUCUGCUUUUUAACGUGCUCUGAAAAUGACUUCUGAAAUUGAGGAAGAUGAGACAAACGAACUUGUCAAUGUAAAAUCGCAACAAUCAGCUGAGGAAAAAUGGAGUGCCAUACUUAGACGAAAACGACCAUCACCAUCUCUGAGUGCCAUCGCCCCACCGGAGAAGAAGGUGAAAAAGGAUCAAUGUGAUCAAUACAUAUGUUUGCUUUGUUCACAAGAGUUGACAAGAGGAUCCAAGUCGUACAAACAAAGGCAUUGGGCAAGAAAACAUAGUGGAGA